AAUAUUGCACAAGUGGGCGCAAGCCUGUAUGCAGCCAUGCCGCGUGUAUGAAGAAGGUCCUUCGGGUUGUAAAGUACUUUCAGCAGUGAGGUAAGGUGGGUAUGUUAAUAGCAUACUCAUUUAACGUUAGCUGCAGAAGAAGCACCGGCUAACUCCGUGCCAGCAGCCGCGGUAAUACGGAGGGUGCGAGCGUUAAUCGGAAUUACUGGGCGUAAAAGCGCAUGCAGGUGGUUUGUUAAGUCAGAUGUGAAAGCCCCGGGGCUCAACCUCGGAAUUGCAUUUGAAAACUGGCAAACUAGAGUACUGUAGAGGGGGUAGAAUUUCAGGUGUAGCGGUGAAAAUGCGUAGAGAUCUGAAGGAAUACCGGUGGCGAAGGCGGCCCCCUGGACAGAUACUGACACUCAGAUGCGAAAGCGUGGGGAGCAAACAGGAUUAGAUACCCUGGUAG
rnacentral:rRNA from 1 species